GUGAAUUUUGGUAAAGUAUAAAGUGUAUGUGUUGUACUUCAUUAAGUGUGUCGCCGCGCGCUGUAGUGAGCAGGAGUAUGUCACUGUAGAAGGAUUUCGGACACAUAGAUGACACACACACACACACACACACACACACACACACACACACAGAGGGAUGGAUUGAAUACCAGACUUGUGAAGACUCCUCAGUGUGUGUGUGUGUGUGUGUGUGUGUGUGUGUGUGUGUGUGUGUGUGUGUGUGUGUGUGUGUGUGUGUGUGUUUUAAAGUCAAGCCUCACUCUGUAACUUGAAGAUCUGUAAUACACGAUCGAUACACGUUCGCUAAUGACCCAAGACUUGUAGGAAACGGCAUUUGGAGUACUGCCCAUCACGAGUUUUGACCUUGUUCUUCAGCUUACUCCCAGGUCACCAACUCUCUAACACUGGGUUCCAAGACCAAUGACAACACUUGGGUUUGCAUCGGUAACUAUUAGAUAUAAAGGUCAAAGAUGGGGUCAAUUGGGUUCUAAUGAGUGUUUCUACAGGUUCAUGGUACAGCGGAAGGGUCACACUAUCACCAGGGUCAUAGAACUGCUCCUGGAAAUGCCCACAACUCCCACGAAAGACUAGUAAAUUACGUGUUCUUGGUUCUAAUGAGUGUUUCUACAGGUUCAUGGUACAGAAGAAGGCUCAGUCUACCACCAGGGUCAUAGAACUGCUCCUGGAAAUGCCCACAACUCCCACGAAAGACUAGUAAAUUACGUGUUCUUGGUUCUAAUGAGUUCUUUAAUUAGGUUCAUGGUACAGAAGAAGGCUCAGUCUACCACCAGGGUCAUAGAACUGCUCCUGGAAAUGCCCACAACUCCCACGAAAGACUAGUAAAUUACGUGUUCUUGGGCUCAGAAAUGUUUAAAAAUAUGGCUCUUUGUCUCAUCAGCUCUCCUCCUCAUACUGAUAGUCUUCUACCUCUUAAAUUCCGCCGCAAUGUUGUCUCUCUUUCUAUCUUCAAUCGCUAUUUCCACGCUGACUGCUCUUCUGAACUUGCUAACUGCCUCCCCCCUGUCUUUCUACUCAUGCUCAUCCCUAUACUGUCCAAACCCCUUAUGCAAGAGUCAACCAGCAUCUUCACUCUUUCAUCCCUAUACUGUCCAAACCCCUUAUGCAAGAGUCAACCAGCAUCUUCACUCUUUCAUCCCUAUACUGUCCAAACCCCUUAUGCAAGAGUCAACCAGCAUCUUCACUCUUUCAUCCCUAUACUGUCCAAACCCCUUAUGCAAGAGUUAACCAGCAUCUUCACUCUUUCAUCCCUAUA